rnacentral:lncRNA from 1 species
UUUUAAAAUUGCACCCCCCAAAAUCAAAUAACUCAGAAUAUACCUGACCAAGGAGGUAAACAACUUAUAUGCCAAGAACUAUAAAACCUUAAUCAAGGUAAUCAAAGAAGAGGUAAAGAAAUGCAAAGAUAUUCCAUGCUCCUGGGUUGGAAAAAUUAAUAUUGUAAAAAUGGCCAUACUGCCCAAAGUGAUCUACAGAUUCCAUGCAAUCCCUAACAAAUUAGCCAGGACAUUCUUCACAGAGCUAGAACAAACAAUCCAAACAUUUACAUGGAACCACAAAAGACCCAGAAUUUCCAAAGCAAUUCUGAAGAAUAUUUUUUUGAAAUACAGCUUGCAGGGCCUGUGUAGCUCAGUCAUAAAGAAUCAGACUUUUAAUCUAAGGGUCCAGGGUUCAAGUACCUCUCCAGGUGCUGUGUGAAAUGUAGUUCAUAAACAAUAUUAUGUUAGUUUCAGGUGUAUUACAUGGUGAUUUGAUGUUUUCAUACAUUAUUAAUUAUUAAUCUAAUAAAAAUAUAUCCCCAUAAGAUUUUAUAGUGUUUUUGAUCAUAUUAUUUAUGCUGUAUAUUAAAUCCAAAGGUUUCUUUAUUUUAUAGUUGGAGGCUUGUUCCUCUUCACCCGCAUCACCUAUUUCAUCCCUCUUCCCCAGACACGAUCACUCGUUUCUUCUCUGUAUUUCUGAGUCUGUUUACAUUUUGUUUUGUUGAUUAGUUGUUUUGAAUCUUAGGCUCCAGAUAUAAGUGAGAUACCAUGAUAUUUAACAUUGUCUCUCUUCCUUAUUUCACAGAGGAUAAUAGCUUCUAGAUCCAUGCACGUUGUUGGAACAUGGCUGAGAACUGUGAAAUGCACUUGAAUAGCUCCCUUAUGGCCACAUUGUUGCCACCAAAGGUGGCAAACAGUUUUGUCCCCAUAAUGGGAUGGCACAGAUAGUUGUUUUCCCUGUUGGGGAUUUACUUUCAUGUUUUUGUGUGUGGAUAAUCAGUUUCCCAGCAGCAUUUGUUGAAGAGACUCCCCUUUCCCUAUUGUGUGUUUUUGGCUCCCUUGUCAAAGAUCAGUUGAGCAUAUAUGUGCGGGUUUCUUUUGGGCUCUAUAUUCUGUUACUUUUUUUAAAUCUCUGUUUUUUAUGUCGGUAACAUACAGUGUUGAUUUCUAAAAGUUUGAAGUAUAGUUUGCAAUCAGGAAGUGUGAUGCCUAGAGUUUUGUCUAUUUUGCUCAAGAUGGCUUCAGCUUUUGUGGGUCUUUUGUGUUUUCAUAUGGAUGGAAUAAUUGAUGGUGAUGGGAUGUGAGCUACAACACACUUCAGGGUCAGUUAUGUGAGAAUCUUAAGGUCUAGUAUUCUGUUUGGUCCUUCCUUCAGUGUACGGAGUGGCAGAUACCAUUGUAGGUUCUUCAAAGUUCAAGGGUUUUCAUGGCCUCUCCUCCUCAUGAGCAGGCAGAGGGAAGACCAAUGUAUCACUGACAUUAGAGACAUCUUCUGGGACACCUGUAAUUCAGUCUCUUUGGUCCCUGCACUGGCUGCAUCUGAAGAGGAAGGCAAGAAAUUGGGCAAUUAACUCAGUUAUCUUAUUCUCCAACCAGAAGUUUGGGGGUGUGUUCCUUGGGGUCUCAGUCAUUUCAGUAAAUGUGGAUCCCACUCAUUGUUAUCCUUCUUGUAAACAGAUGGGGAAGUGCUAAAUAUCCUGAGGCCAUGGAGGCAUAAGAGAUGAGAGCUCAGGUAGCAGCCUGGACCAGCCAAAAUCUGAACAGGGUGGGGAACCAUCAAUUGGCCUGCGUGUGUGUGAUGAUGUGAGGACUAGGAAAAAGAGAUAGAGAAAAUAUAUGUUUACAUUGCUUGUGUAGCCAUGUAUUCUUAAUGACUGAUUUACACACUGACCUACAUGGUACCACCAGCCUUAAGUGGCCAUAACCUUAAAAUUAAUUAAAAUGACUUGAAAUUAAAAUUUGGGUUCCUCAGUUGCACUAGAUAUAUUUCAGGUCUCCAGUAGCCACAGGAGACUGGCACUGCCAUAUUGGACCACACAGCCGUAGAGUAUUUCCAUCCUUGUGGAAAGUCCUGUUGUACAUGGAGGCUGGAUAUAUGCUGUACGUGUGUGUGUGCUUGGGUUGCUCUGUGCAUGUUUCUUCUUUUUACAUUAAUCGUGUGUUGGGUUUGACCACACGUGAUUCUUCGGGUGUUUAGUGGAGUUUCUGUGUGUGUACAUGUGUAUGGUUUAUAAGCUGUAUGGAUUACUGGAUGUGGUCUUUGAAUGUUUUUUUUUAAACAGCUAGUGAUGUAUAAUUGAUAUACAAAAACUACACAUAUUUAAUGUAUAUAAUUUGAGGAGUUUGGACAUGUGCACACACUUAUGAAGCUACCACCACAAUCAAGGUCAUCAACAUAUCUGCCUCCUCUCAAAAUGUCCUGUGUCCUUUUUUCACGGUGAGAAAAGUUUUCAUGAGAUCUGCUCUUUUAAGGAAUUUUGAGAUGCACAGUAUAGUGUUUUUGACUCUAGGCAAUAUGCUGUAGAGCAAGUCUCUAGAACGAAUUCAUCUUGCAUAGUGGACAAUUUAUUUCAAUUAAAUAUCAACACUACCAUUCCCCUCCCUCCAGCCCUUGGUGACUGCCAUUUAUUCUCUGCUUCUAUGAGUUUCUCAAAGGGAAAUUAUGCAAUUUUUAUCCUUGUAGGACUGGCUUAUUUCACUUAGCAUAAUGUCCUCCUUGUUCAUCCAUGUCAGAUCUGGCAAGAUUUCCUUUUUUAAGGCAAAAUAGUAUUCCAUUGUGUGUAUAUGCCACAUUUAUCCAUUCAUCUGUUGAUGGAAUUCAGCUUGGUUUUGUAGUUUAUCUUUGUGCACAGUGCUGAAAUGUACAUGGGAGAGUAGAUGUAUCUCUGAGAUACAUCUUAUUCCAGUCCUUUCUGGUAUACACCCAGACGUGGGAUUUCUGGAUCAUGUAGUACUUCUACUUUUAAUGUCUUGGGGAAUCUCCAUACUGUUUUCCAUAAUGAUGGCACCAUUUUACUUCCCCACCAACAGUGUAGAAGUUUUCCUGUUUGCAUACUUUUUAAGUGGUGUAUGACACAUAUUUCAUUAUAAAGUUGUAAGUAAGUUGACAUGAAUCCAUGCAAACCUCUGAACUUCUGACUAGGAUGAGUAUAGGUAGGAGAGGCCAAAAUGCAGCAACUGGGGUUUUGUUUUUGUGUCACUAUGUGUCAUGCUGAGUGUCUGUUUCUGUGUAUAACAAACUCACAAUCUCCUACUCCUCUCUUGGAUGGCUGUAGAGCAGAGAGGCCCUUGUGAGGGCUUUGAAAAUAUAUGUAUGCGGAGUUCCCGUCAUGGCGCAGUGGUUAACGAAUCUGACUAGGAACCAUGAGGUUGCGGGUUCGGUCCCUGCCCUUGCUCAGUGGGUUAACGAUCCGGCGUUGCUGUGAGCUGUGGUGUAGGUUGCAGACGCGGCUCGGUCCUGCGUUGCUGUGGCUCUGGCGUAGGCAGGUGGCUACAGCUCUGAUUCAACCCCUAGCCUGGGAACCUCCAUAUGCCGCGGGAGCGGCCCAAGAAAUAGCAACAACAACAACAACAACAAAAAAG